rnacentral:sRNA from 1 species
UGUUGUUUCAGCCAGGGUGGCGCAGUAUUCUAGUCAGAUAUAUCCUAUUUGAAGGCGGGGCUAAAAAUCCGUCAAAGGGCACAUCGAUGAAGUUCCUUGUGCUGGCCUGCUACGCCCAGUAGUGGGUUGGUGCUGGGAGUAAGGGGGAUGGGGCGACCGCAAUGGCAUGCGUAAUCGACCCUACCUUCGCGGAGACCCGUGUGCGUGGUAUUUUAAAGUAUUACGGCACGGGAUUAAACCUGCAUAGCGGUUUGAAGCUGCUUGCAGCGUAGCCUGCCUUGAGUGGGAUUGGUGGAGGACAGAUCAGGUUUGCAUAUAAAGGCCAAUAUAUGCGAACUAUUGCUGUAGGAAACCAGUCCUGCAAAAGAGGCUAGAAUAGGAUUAUUCUGUUGAGGAAAACUCCUAGACUGUUCGAUUGAGGCAGAAAAGGGAUUGCAGUGUGGACUAAGUGGUAAUCCAGCCCCAUAACCGGCAACGGUAUGGAUUUUUGGUUAAAGGGAAACCGCCAGAGUGGCGACGCUCUGGUCUCAAAAAUGGGAAAGCCUGCUGGACCUAAGCCGCAAACUUAACCUUUUCUGUCGCCACUUUGGGCUACAUAUAA